rnacentral:rRNA from 1 species
UACGUAGGGGGCUAGCGUUGUCCGGAAUCAUUGGGCGUAAAGCGCGUGUAGGCGGCCAGGUAAGUCCGCUGUGAAAGUCGGGGGCUCAACCCUCGGAUGCCGGUGGAUACUGUCGGGCUCGAGUACGGAAGAGGCGAGUGGAAUUCCUGGUGUAGCGGUGAAAUGCGCAGAUAUCAGGAGGAACACCGGUGGCGAAGGCGCCACUCUGGGCCGGCACUGACGCUGAGGAGCGAAAGCGUGGGUAGCAAACAGG